AGCAGAAAGGCACCGUGGAUCUCUUCUCAAUUUUCUUUUGCCUUUUGGGAAGGGCUGUCUCAUCCUGUGCUGAGAUUAGGAACAGCAAUCAGAUGAAGAAAGGGAUAUCGCAGACAUGCUUAUGUCUUCUGCCCCUUGUGCUUUUGGUGUACACCUCCAAGAAGGGUCUGGCUCUGCUUUCGCUCUAACCUCCUGGUUUGCCAUUGACUUCACUGGAAGCACAAUCCAACCCUCAGCAGGGAGAAGUGCUGCUUUUUAACACUUGGAAAGAAAGAAAGAACAACUUCCAACCUAAUUCAGUUAUCCUGCUUGCAUAUUCCCCCGGUAUCCUCUGUGGACACGUACAUCUCUCAUGUGGUUUGGUCAUAAAAUUUCAAGUCAAUCGAGUUUCUGAAGGAAGAGAAUUCCACAUUAAGAACACAAGUCUUUCUCUUUGCCCAAGAAAGGCUUUUAAUGCUUGUGUAUUGUCGACUAUAAAAUAUGGAGCAAAAGAGGAGGAACAUUUAAUAUACUGGAGCUGAAACUAAAACCUGGACAAUGAAGCAUGAAAUGAAGUAUGCUUGAUAUCACAGAGAAACAGAAUUAACAAAUAGGUAAGACAGAGAAAGUAUGUUAAAGAACAAUCUUUAUGAAUAGAAGGACACUAGGGUGAUUGUAUCUUGAAGAGGACAAAAUUAAAGAUGGAAAGCAUUUAUGAAGAAACAGGUUACAGCACGUAUAAUCAUCAGAACCCAAAGGUGUAUCAAAAAAAAUCUCUUCUGUCCUCUGACAUAUUUCAAAAGUGAUACAUGACUGGAAUGCAUGAAGAUUAUUGAGUGCUUUAGAGAUGUAGGAAUUUAAAGUAUUAUAAACCAAUUACAAAUUACAUUCAUUAUGCUGUACUGUUUGAUAGCAUCACAUACCUGCAACUUUU